rnacentral:rRNA from 1 species
UAAGCGACCUACCUCGGUGUGGGGCAUAGCCGGUCUAACGGCCGGGUAAUUCCGCAUACGCUCUUGAGAGGGCAUACUCUUGAGAUGAAACCAGUAAUGGGCACUGAGAGGGGCUUGCGGCCUAUCAGCUAGUUGGUGAGGUAACGGCUCACCAAGGCUACGACGGGUAGCUGGUCUGAGAGGAUGGCCAGCCACAUUGGGACUGAGAUACGGCCCAG